rnacentral:rRNA from 1 species
AUGAACGCUAGCUACAGGCUUAACACAUGCAAGUCGAGGGGCAUCAGGAAGAAAGCUUGCUUUCUUUGCUGGCGACCGGCGCACGGGUGAGUAACACGUAUCCAACCUGCCCUUUACUCGGGGAUAGCCUUUCGAAAGAAAGAUUAAUACCCGAUGGCAUAAUGAUUCCGCAUGGUUUCAUUAUUAAAGGAUUCCGGUAAAGGAUGGGGAUGCGUUCCAUUAGGUUGUUGGUGAGGUAACGGCUCACCAAGCCUUCGAUGGAUAGGGGUUCUGAGAGGAAGGUCCCCCACAUUGGAACUGAGACACGGUCCAAACUCCUACGGGAGGCAGCAGUGAGGAAUAUUGGUCAAUGGGCGCUAGCCUGAACCAGCCAAGUAGCGUGAAGGAUGAAGGCUCUAUGGGUCGUAAACUUCUUUUAUAUAAGAAUAAAGUGCAGUAUGUAUACUGUUUUGUAUGUAUUAUAUGAAUAAGGAUCGGCUAACUCCGUGCCAGCAGCCGCGGUAAUACGGAGGAUCCGAGCGUUAUCCGGAUUUAUUGGGUUUAAAGGGAGCGUAGGUGGACUGGUAAGUCAGUUGUGAAAGUUUGCGGCUCAACCGUAAAAUUGCAGUUGAUACUGUCAGUCUUGAGUACAGUAGAGGUGGGCGGAAUUCGUGGUGUAGCGGUGAAAUGCUUAGAUAUCACGAAGAACUCCGAUUGCGAAGGCAGCUCACUGGACUGCAACUGACACUGAUGCUCGAAAGUGUGGGUAUCAAACAGGAUUAGAUACCCUGGUAGUCCACACAGUAAACGAUGAAUACUCGCUGUUUGCGAUAUACAGUAAGCGGCCAAGCGAAAGCAUUAAGUAUUCCACCUGGGGAGUACGCCGGCAACGGUGAAACUCAAAGGAAUUGACGGGGGCCCGCACAAGCGGAGGAACAUGUGGUUUAAUUCGAUGAUACGCGAGGAACCUUACCCGGGCUUAAAUUGCAGUGGAAUGAUGUGGAAACAUGUCAGUGAGCAAUCACCGCUGUGAAGGUGCUGCAUGGUUGUCGUCAGCUCGUGCCGUGAGGUGUCGGCUUAAGUGCCAUAACGAGCGCAACCCUUAUCUUUAGUUACUAACAGGUUAUGCUGAGGACUCUAGAGAGACUGCCGUCGUAAGAUGUGAGGAAGGUGGGGAUGACGUCAAAUCAGCACGGCCCUUACGUCCGGGGCUACACACGUGUUACAAUGGGGGGUACAGAAGGCAGCUAGCGGGUGACCGUAUGCUAAUCCCAAAAGCCUCUCUCAGUUCGGAUCGAAGUCUGCAACCCGACUUCGUGAAGCUGGAUUCGCUAGUAAUCGCGCAUCAGCCACGGCGCGGUGAAUACGUUCCCGGGCCUUGUACACACCGCCCGUCAAGCCAUGGGAGCCGGGGGUACCUGAAGUACGUAACCGCAAGGAUCGUCCUAGGGUAAAACUGGUGACUG